rnacentral:ncRNA from 1 species
UUAACUUCAUGGACGAGAAGAGUAAGCUAUGAAUCCCGAUCUCCAGAGAGUUGGUGUAUGCUGCAAGCCAACGUUCGGCUCAUAGCUGAAGGUCAUCUCCGAGAAGCGCGGCUGAACUCGAGUAAGCUGCGACGGACUUCCACCGUUAUCCGGAAUGCGUACGGUAUGGUAUAUCAGUACGUAAUGAGCUGCAUGGUGCGGGAAUGAUAACAACCUGCUCCGUGAAAAUGGGUGGUAACGCGGAUCACAAUCCGUCCCUGUC